rnacentral:SRP_RNA from 1 species
UGAGGGGUUGGCGCGGGCAAGCGCCUCGCCAACCUGGUCAGGUCCGGAAGGAAGCAGCCACAACGAGCCCCGCUUGGGUCGAUGUCCAAUCCCUCACCC